UGUAGCCCUGGCUGUCCUGGAACUCACUCUGUAGCCCAGGCUGGCCCGCCUCUGCCUCUCAAGUGCGAGGAUUAAAGGUGUGCACCACCGUGUUCAUCUCAAGCCCUGACAUUCUUGACCAUUCUGAGCUAAUGCCCUCUCCAGAGGCAAAAAGAAAACUCCUCCCUCCAAGAACUUAUUGAUCUAUUUUAAGGUUAACGAGGAGAGGGUGGAACACAGAGUGGCCCUCUCUCAUACACCCCCUCCCACACCCACACCCACACCCCCGCCACAGACUCUGGGGAGCUCAGGGGCAGCUACAGAAGAUUCUCGCUGGACUUUCUCAUGUGUGACUCACCAGGCUCCUCCAUGAGGGCAAGCUGACUCACCGAGGACAGUCUGCUGUUUGUCUGUCUAAGAAGAAGGAUGGCAGCGUAGCCAGACACACGGCCCAGAUGAGACGGACAGACAAGGGCUUACCUCGUCUGGGACACCUCCCUCCUCAGACAAGCCCCUCCCCGCAGGGCCGGAAUGGAGACACUGAGACCCAAGGGCUGGAAUGGUGACUGGGCACAGAUUGCACCAGCACUUUGCAGCGGUGGCCAGUGAGCAGCAGCAUGCCCAGACUGUGCCCAGUGUGUGCAGGGUCUCCUUACCCCACAGCUCACUGCACAGCCUCCCCGUCCGCUCCAGUCUCUACGGCCUUAGUCCUGUGUCUCAGGACUGCUAUCAGACCCUAAUCCUCCCUCAGGCCAUUCUUCUGGUUGGAUCUGCCCCUGUUGUGUGACAGAACUUCCUGGGGAGACACAACAUCCAUCCCUGACAGACCAAAGUACGGAUACCAACUUGGUGAACCACCGAGCUUAGCUGGGGUUACUUUUGGGAAUACGGGUGAGGGGUCACUUAGAGGCGCAGAAAUGACUCACAGACAGCUGCAUCACCAGGGCCCACCACAGCAUGAGUGACAGCUCACAAAGCUGGGAACCUGGAGCACACUGCCUGCAGACAGCUCACAGGCUGGAGAGUGUCUUUCUCGGUGACUCAGUUGGUGUAAACCUCUUCCAGGCAGCUGGUCUAGUCUGAGUCUUCCUAGCAGCUUGUCUUGUUGGAGAGUGACCCUCAGUAGCUUGGCUUGCUUACCUCUUGGCAAGAAGGGACUUAGAGAAUCUAGUCAGUUUCAGGGACUUCCUGAACAUUUUGAAUGUACCUUCCAGCUUAAGCAGCUUCCCUGCAGGAUGGAAUGUUUCCGUCUUGGAGGAAAGGGAUACAUAAGAGCAUCCCCUGAAGACUUCUCUGAGCCUCUUGUACAGGAUGUCCAGGCGCCUUUGAGACCCUGCCCUUGUCUUCCCCAGGACACAAAGCUGCUCCUGCCUCCAGGAGGAAGAGGAGUUCGGGGAUCCCAGCAGCCAUUGCUGCUGCCCUGAGUGGGCUCACCCAGCCAGCACUGUGAGGAGGGUAGAGGCGAAGGGAUGGAGGAGAAGCCAAGCCAGUACGCCAAUGCUGUGAGCCUCUGGAUCAAACCAUGCCUGCAGCCCUCUCCUAGCACUGAUUGUUCUGUGACAGGCACCUGUAGUUCCUUCCUGGGUUAGGUUUUCUGUCUUUUGUAAGCAAGGGUGCAAACAGACACAGAUGUCACCAGACGGUGGGGGAUUGCUAUUUUGUAUGACAUAAUGAGGCACGUCUAUUGACCGAUGUAUCGAUCUUGUACAGUUGGUGGGCAUGCUACAGAACCUGGAGCCCAUGAGCUGCUGUGAGCUUGAAGAGCUGUGGGAGCCAGGUGGCAGUAAUGGAGGAGAAGGAACACGGGUGUGCUGUUCAUCUUUCUGUCAACUUGACAGAAGCUGGGUUCAUGCAGGAAGAGGGAGCCUCCACUGAGAAAAUGCCUCUAACAAACCGGCCUCUAGGCAAGUCUGUAGGCCAUGUUCUUUAACAAAAAUUGUUUUAUUUUAUGUGUAUGAGUGAUGUGUCCACAUACACGUAUGUGCAGCUCAUGCAUGUCUGGUGCUCAAGGAAGCUAGGAGUGGGGGUCGGAUCCCCGGAACUGGAAUUACUGAUGGCCACGAACCACUAUGUGCGUGCUGGGAAUUGUGGGUGGUGAUCACAUCCCCCCUUUCCGUAUCCCCCCCCACCAGACAGAGGGGCUUGUGUGUAUAGGAAAACAAGCUGAGCCAGCCACAGGGAGCCAGCCAGUUAACACCUCCAUCUUCUCCUCCGCUUCAGGUCCCCUCUCGAGUCCUGCCUUGGUGUCCCUCAAUGACGGACGGUUGUAAGGCGAAGCAACCUCUUUCCUCCCCAGUGGUUUAUCACAGCGACAGAAACCGAGCCAGGACACUAGGUGAGGGGCUAUUUAUAGACCCACAGUGACUCUAGGAUGACUGCCACAUGAAGGGUCCGACCCAGCCUAGGAGACGACACCCAAGAGCUCUCUCUUUAGCAUUCCCUGCACUCUUCCAGGCAGCUCCACUCACAAGGGCCCUCUUACCCAGCAACCCAUUUGACUGCUUGAAUGACCUUUGGGAAGGGCCUCAUGGAUCUUGUAAUUUUCUGAGUUUCUUUUUAUUUAUUUGCUUUUAUUAUUUAUUUAUUAU